rnacentral:tRNA from 2 species
GAGAGAAGCCCGACGGCAAUAGAGACUGCUAAUCUUCUACCCCCUACGGUUAAACCCCGUAGUUCACUCG